rnacentral:rRNA from 1 species
AUUGAACGCUGGCGGCAGGCCUAACACAUGCAAGUCGAGCGGAUGAAGGGAGCUUGCUCCUGGAUUCAGCGGCGGACGGGUGAGUAAUGCCUAGGAAUCUGCCUGGUAGUGGGGGAUAACGUCCGGAAACGGGCGCUAAUACCGCAUACGUCCUGAGGGAGAAAGUGGGGGAUCUUCGGACCUCACGCUAUCAGAUGAGCCUAGGUCGGAUUAGCUAGUUGGUGGGGUAAAGGCCUACCAAGGCGACGAUCCGUAACUGGUCUGAGAGGAUGAUCAGUCACACUGGAACUGAGACACGGUCCAGACUCCUACGGGAGGCAGCAGUGGGGAAUACUGGACAAUGGGCGAAAGCCUGAUCCAGCCAUGCCGCGUGUGUGAAGAAGGUCUUCGGAUUGUAAAGCACUUUAAGUUGGGAGGAAGGGCAGUAAGUUAAUACCUUGCUGUUUUGACGUUACCAACAGAAUAAGCACCGGCUAACUUCGU